GACGAACGCUGGCGGCGUGCUUAACACAUGCAAGUCGAACGGAAAGGCCCUGCUUGCAGGGUACUCGAGUGGCGAACGGGUGAGUAACACGUGGGUGAUCUGCCCUGCACUUCGGGAUAAGCCUGGGAAACUGGGUCUAAUACCGGAUAGGAGCCAUUUUUAGUGUGAUGGUUGGAAAGUUUUUUCGGUGUAGGAUGAGCUCGCGGCCUAUCAGCUUGUUGGUGGGGUAAUGGCCUACCAAGGCGGCGACGGGUAGCCGGCCUGAGAGGGUGGACGGCCACAUUGGGACUGAGAUACGGCCCAGACUCCUACGGGAGGCAGCAGUGGGGAAUAUUGCACAAUGGGCGCAAGCCUGAUGCAGCGACGCCGCGUGGGGGAUGACGGCCUUCGGGUUGUAAACUCCUUUCGCUAGGGACGAAGCUUUUUGUGACUGUACCUAGAUAAGAAGCACCGGCUAACUACGUG
rnacentral:rRNA from 1 species